rnacentral:tRNA from 1 species
GCACCCGUAGCUCAAUGGAUAGAGUACCAGAUUGCGGAUCUGGCGGUUGGUGGUUCGACCCCACUCGGGUGCG